rnacentral:rRNA from 1 species
CGCAAUGGGCGAAAGCCUGACGGAGCAAGACCGCGUGGGGGAGGAAGGUUCUUGGAUUGUCAACCCCUUUUCUCAGGGAAGAAGAAAAUGACGGUACCUGAGGAAGAAGCAUCGGCUAACUCCGUGCCAGCAGCCGCGGUAAUACGGGGGAUGCAAGCGUUAUCCGGAAUGAUUGGGCGUAAAGAGUCCGUAGGUGGCUCAUCAAGUCUGCUGUUAAAGAGCGAGGCUUAACUUUGUAAAAGCAGUGGAAACUGAAGAGCUAGAGUAUGGUAGGGGCAGAGGGAAUUCCUGGUGUAGCGGUGAAAUGCGUAGAGAUCAGGAAGAACACCGGUGGCGAAAGCGCUUUGCUGGGCUAAAUCUGACACUGAGGGACGAAAGCUA